rnacentral:rRNA from 1 species
CCUACGGGAGGCAGCAGUGAGGAAUAUUGGUCAAUGGACGAGAGUCUGAACCAGCCAAGUAGCGUGAAGGAUGACUGCCCUAUGGGUUGUAAACUUCUUUUAUAAAGGAAUAAAACGAGGCACGUGUGCCUUUUUGCAUGUACUUUAUGAAUAAGGAUCGGCUAACUCCGUGCCAGCAGCCGCGGUAAUACGGAUGAUCCGAGCGUUAUCCGGAUUUAGUGGGUUUAAAGGGAGCGUAGAUGGGUUGUUAAGUCAGUUGUGAAAGUUUGCGGCUCAACCGUAAAAUUGCAAUUGAUACUGGCAGUCUUGAGUACAGUUGAGGUAGGCGGAAUUCGUGGUGUAGCGGUGAAAUGCGUAGAUAUCACGAAGAACCCCGAUUGCGAAGGCAGCUUACUAAACUGUGACUGACAUUGAUGCUCGAAAGUGUGGGUAUCAAACAGGAUUAGAUACCCUAGUAGUC